AUGGAAGGGGAGAAAUACAGUACAGGCACUACGUAUUUUAAAUUUUGCAUGUGGGCUCAGGCGUGGCAGCGUCAGCGGCCUCCGACGCUCCUCGGCUCAGCCGCCGCCGACCUACCAUGCCCAAAAUCCUCGCGAGCAGUGUCACUCCUUCCCCUCGCCGUGGUGCAAUGGAUUGAUUUAUUGAUGAAUCAAUCACAGCUGCUAGAAGAAGAAAGAAUCAGGCGUGCAUCAUGGAUGAUGGAUCUUGGAGUGCGGGGUGAGAACAAAGGCCUGAAGCUUGAGCAGUUCAUAUUCGACAUAUCCAUUUAA
rnacentral:rRNA from 1 species